rnacentral:rRNA from 1 species
CAGCAGCCACGGUAACACGAAGGGGGCUAGCGUUGUUCGGAAUUACUGGGCGUAAAGCGCACGUAGGCGGAUCGAUCAGUCAGGGGUGAAAUCCCAGGGCUCAACCCUGGAACUGCCUUUGAUACUGUCGAUCUGGAGUAUGGAAGAGGUGAGUGGAAUUCCGAGUGUAGAGGUGAAAUUCGUAGAUAUUCGGAGGAACACCAGUGGCGAAGGCGGCUCACUGGCCCGAUACUGACGCUGAGGUGCGAAAGCGUGGGGAGCAAACAGGAUUAGAUACCCGGGUAGUCCCUGUCUCUUAUAC